rnacentral:rRNA from 1 species
GGGACGGGUGAGUAACACGUGGGUAACCUACCUAUAAGACUGGGACAACGUUCGGGAAACCGGAGCUAAUACCGGAUAAGAUAUACGAACCGCAUGGUUCGAUAGUGAAAGAUGGUUUUGCUAUCACUUAUAGAUGGACCCGCGCCGUAUUAGCUAGUUGGUGAGGUAACGGCUCACCAAGGCAACGAUACGUAGCCGACCUGAGAGGGUGAUCGGCCACACUGGAACUGAGACACGGUCCAGACUCCUACGGGAGGCAGCAGCC